rnacentral:rRNA from 1 species
GACGAACGCUGGCGGCGUGCUUAACACAUGCAAGUCGAACGGAAAGUCCCUGCUUUUGUGCGGUGCUCGAGUUGCGAACGGGUGAGUAACACGUGAGUAACCUGUCCUUGCCUGUGGGAUAACUUCAGGAAACUGGGUCUCAUACCGGAUAGGAGCUCCUGCUGCAUGGUGGGGGUUGGAAAGUUUCGGCGGUUGGGGAUGGACUCGCGGCUUAUCGGCUUGUUGGUGGGGUAGUGGCUUACCAAGGCUUUGACGGGUAGCCGGCCUGGGAGGGUGACCGGACAAAUUAGGACUGGGAUGCGACCCAGACUCCAACGGGAGGGAACAGAGGAGAAUAUUGCACUAUGGGCGGAAGGCUGGUGCAGCAACGCCGCGUGGGGGAAGACGGCACGGGGGUUGUGAACUGCUUUCGCCUUUGACGGAGCGUGAGUGACGGUAAUGGGUAAAGAAGCACCGGCUAACUACGUG